rnacentral:rRNA from 1 species
AGACCCGAAACCCGGUGAUCUAGCCAUGGGCAGGUUGAAGGUUGGGUAACACUAACUGGAGGACCGAACCGACUAAUGUUGAAAAAUUAGCGGAUGACCUGUGGCUGGGGGUGAAAGGCCAAUCAAACCGGGAGAUAGCUGGUUCUCCCCGAAAGCUAUUUAGGUAGCGCCUCGUGAAUUCAUCUCCGGGGGUAGAGCACUGUUUCGGCUAGGGGGCCAUCCCGGCUUACCAACCCGAUGCAAACUGCGAAUACCGGAGAAUGUUAUCACGGGAGACACACGGCGGGUGCUAACGUCCGUCGUGAAGAGGGAAACAACCCAGACCGCCAGCUAAGGUCCCAAAGUCAUGGUUAAGUGGGAAACGAUGUGGGAAGGCCCAGACAGCCAGGAUGUUGGCUUAGAAGCAGCCAUCAUUUAAAGAAAGCGUAAUAGCUCACUGGUCGAGUCGGCCUGCGCGGAAGAUGUAACGGGGCUAAACCAUGCACCGAAGCUGCGGCAGCGACACUCAGGUGUUGUUGGGUAGGGGAGCGUUCUGUAAGCCUGUGAAGGUGGCCUGUGAGGGAUGCUGGAGGUAUCAGAAGUGCGAAUGCUGACAUAAGUAACGAUAAAGCGGGUGAAAAGCCCGCUCGCCGGAAGACCAAGGGUUCCUGUCCAACGUUAAUCGGGGCAGGGUGAGUCGACCCCUAAGGCGAGGCCGAAAGGCGUAGUCGAUGGGAAACGGGUUAAUAUUCCCGUACUUGGUGUUACUGCGAAGGGGGGACGGAGAAGGCUAUGUUGGCCGGGCGACGGUUGUCCCGGUUUAAGCGUGUAGGUGUGUGUUCCAGGUAAAUCCGGUUCACUUUAACACUGAGGCGUGACGACGAGGCACUACGGUGCUGAAGCAACAAAUGCCCUGCUUCCAGGAAAAGCCUCUAAGCAUCAGGUAACAUCAAAUCGUACCCCAAACCGACACAGGUGGUCAGGUAGAGAAUACCAAGGCGCUUGAGAGAACUCGGGUGAAGGAACUAGGCAAAAUGGUGCCGUAACUUCGGGAGAAGGCACGCUGACACGUAGGUGAAGUGAUUUACUCAUGGAGCUGAAGUCAGUCGAAGAUACCAGCUGGCUGCAACUGUUUAUUAAAAACACAGCACUGUGCAAACACGAAAGUGGACGUAUACGGUGUGACGCCUGCCCGGUGCCGGAAGGUUAAUUGAUGGGGUCAGCGCAAGCGAAGCUCCUGAUCGAAGCCCCGGUAAACGGCGGCCGUAACUAUAACGGUCCUAAGGUAGCGAAAUUCCUUGUCGGGUAAGUUCCGACCUGCACGAAUGGCGUAAUGAUGGCCAGGCUGUCUCCACCCGAGACUCAGUGAAAUUGAACUCGCUGUGAAGAUGCAGUGUACCCGCGGCAAGACGGAAAGACCCCGUGAACCUUUACUAUAGCUUGACACUGAACAUUGAGCCUUGAUGUGUAG